rnacentral:rRNA from 1 species
AUUGAACGCUGGCGGCAUGCUUUACACAUGCAAGUCGAACGGUAACAGGCCGCAAGGUGCUGACGAGUGGCGAACGGGUGAGUAAUGCAUCGGAACGUGCCCAGUCGUGGGGGAUAACGCAGCGAAAGCUGCGCUAAUACCGCAUACGAUCUCUGGAUGAAAGCGGGGGACCGAAAGGCCUCGCGCGAUUGGAGCGGCCGAUGUCAGAUUAGGUAGUUGGUGGGGUAAAGGCCCACCAAGCCAACGAUCUGUAGCUGGUCUGAGAGGACGACCAGCCACACUGGGCCUGGGACACGGCCCAGACUCCUACGGGAGGCAGAAGUGGGGAAUUUUGGACAAUGGGCGCUAGCCUGAUCCAGCAAUGCCGCGUGCAGGAAGAAGGCCUUCGGGUUGUAAACUGCUUUUGUACGGAACGAAACGGUCCUGGUUAAUACCUGGGGCUAAUGACGGUACCGUAAGAAUAAGCACCGGCUAACUACGUGCCAGCAGCCGCCGUAAAAC